rnacentral:rRNA from 1 species
AUUAGCAAAGCUAUACCAAAAAUAGGUUCACGUAAGAAAGUGCCUAUUAGUUUGCGUAAGAAUGCCCGUUUUAGUUUACGGAAGAGUGCACGUAGAAUAACAAAAGGGGUUAUUCAUGUGAAAGCCAGUUUCAACAAUACCGAAAUCAUAACAUUAAGACUAUGCCUCUCGCGAAAGCGAAUCUGUGCCUCCAUGGAAAAUAUAUCUGUGCCUCUCGUGGAAGGAAAAAUACAUUUUUUCAUGCAAUUUUAUUUUGAUUUUUUUGUCCAAAAUCUAAGAAAAACAAAUGAAAACCAAAAAACUAAAAAAAUUGUCGAAAAGCUGAAAAUGCAUACAGAAAAAUAA